AUCAUAAUCCCUUUGGUAUUCGGUAUUUAUGCAAUGUCUGUUAUUAUUUUCUUUUUUCUUUUUGGUGAAAUCCUAAGGCACGUUCGAUUUGACAGUUCACGUAGAACCUCGUCCCUUCCUUCGAAUAUACGUAACUGACGGAGCGAUGGGUGACGCAGAGAAAAAGAGAAAAAGACGAAAUAAUUAAGGAGUCAAACGAUAAUAACGAAUGAUAACGUUUUGUACGUUCAAAGAUAUGGAUGGCUUUAACAAUAAUUAAAAUGUGACCUAACUUA